AAAAAGAGAUCCCUAGACUAAAAAGGGGCUAAGCGCCGUUUUUUAGGAGACCCCCACCCCAUCCCCACAUCGUCUUCUUCUCCAGAGGACUUAGAGCAGCCUAGAGCCAUUUUUCAUCAUCUUCACUCAUCCUAAUUUCUAAAAAAAAAAUACCUGUAGCAUCUUCCCCCGUGGAAACUAGCUAGCUUUACCUUCAACCCCCUUUUUUCUUCACUUAAAAAACCUUCACAAAUAGCAAUUACAUAACCUGAAAACAGUCCCUAAAAUAACUUCAAAACUAGCCAUAGAUCACCUGAAAAUCGGCUAAAAACCAGCCCCAAACUUUGCUAAAAACAACCAUGAACCAAGCUCCAAAAAUCGAGCUCUGUCGCACCAUUGAAACCAUCUAAGACGUGGGAAACAAUCCCUUUUGCACCAAAUCAGCAGCUCCAAAGGUGAGUUCGCAGUUGCGUUCGAGCCCCAUUCGAGUUCCCGAUGUUGCCCAGAUUCUCUGGUUCGAAGGGGAGGUUCCGCUCGUAGGUCCAAUUGGUAGCAACUCAUUUCAUUUUUGUGAAAAGCUCAUUUUGAGGUCCAGUUUCUACUCCCUUUGUUCUUUCUUUCAAAUUAUGUUUUAGUUGGUUAAAUAUUUCAGUUUGAUUAAGUAUGCCAUGCUCUAUUCUGAACUUUAAAUACCUUUUUGACUCCCUUUUUUGUAGUUAGGUUCCAUGUUUCAUGAUUUAUUUUACAUUAUAGUGGUUCAUAUUGGUUCAUUCUGUCGGAUUGCACUAAGGCAUUUAUUUCAUGAUACAGGUCAACCUUUUCUGUAAGAGACACUUACAUAUGUGAACGCUGGAAGACUCUUUCUUUGGCAAAGGUGAAUUAGCACAUCUAAUGCACAAUCAUGUCCUUUCUUCUUCAGAUUCUUGUUGUGAGACAAUUAGUACAUGUCAAUAGCCUUUUUCUGACUCCUGGAGUCAUAAAGAACAAGAUUACAUCUGGUAAUUGUGUUAAAUGACAUGCAAGUACUACAUAAUAAUGUUCUUCUCCUAUAUGUUCUCAAUCUCUGGUAUUGAUUUUAUUAGUGCAAAUCGAGUAGAAUGUCCCACCUAUAUUUAUAUUUUGGUUUAUAAAAUUGAUCAUGA
rnacentral:lncRNA from 1 species